AAAUGUGUGCCUGUAAUAGGAUGUCAAAGGGGAACUGUUAGUAUGUUUGUUCAGUUUUUUGGUACAGAGUGGAGUCCACCCAGAGAUUUGUUACAUUUUUUCUUUUAUCUUUGAAUCGUUUGCUUUUUAAAUAUUGCUUGUGUUGAAUAAACCGUAAGCAGUUUCCUUCUGACCUACAGAGAAAGCAGGUGGAUUACACCAGCCUCACAGUUUUUAUCUUUAUAUGGAUUUUUGUUCCAUCCUGAUGAUCACACGAGUGUUGAGGAUUUAACAGAUCUCUUAAGAACAACAUCCAGAAAACCAUCCCAGCAGAGUCUGGACAGGACGUCACUCUGACAUGUUGAGCUCCAAACAGCGAGUCAGAGAAAAUGAGCGAACAGCUUCAUCAACUUGAUUAUUGAUCCAGAGAGUUAGUUUCCUGCUUGGCUUCUCAGUGUCCUUGUCUAGUCUCGUCUACUUUUCUACUUUUCUACUCUUUCCCUGGAACUCUCUCACAGUCUGUUCUCUAAAACCUAAAGAGGAAUUAUGAAUUUGAUGAACUUGUCCCUGAAUGCAAUUGACACCCUCUUCUCAACAAGAAGCCUGGGCUCAGGUGAGCCUGAGUGUCCUGGAAGGACAUUCCCUGCCGGUACAUGAUGGAUGGGUGGAACUGGAGGGUCGUGUGCCUGGCGGGACUGUCAAUCGAGGACAUUGAAGACAUCUACCUGUUCAGAACCAUGAUAACAGGGUUCUUGCUGAUCGGAGCUGACUUGGCCCUGGCUUGUCGAAGAUUAAAGAAAGUGGAGUCGGCUGUUCAAACCCCCACAAGGCUGCCCACUGGGAUUAAAACUUCUCAAAAUGGGCUCAUUGAACACAGCACGGAUCUUGGAGAAGCUCGAGGCUGUCGUGAGCACUCAGACUAAGAUCUUUGAGUGCAAAAUUGAUACCAACUCGGAGAAGCUCACAGCUCUCCAAUUGAGAGACCAGUCACAGACUGUUGUACCAAGUGUGAAAUUGACAUGCAGUUGCUCGCACUAAAGGAAAACCACCAUCAUUUCGGCGCCAGCUGUGGCCUCAAGGCUGGAGCUGAACAUAACAAAUUCUCACCCUGAUUACAGACUGUGUUUCGACAGUUCCUUGUUACUUGUUCCUCGUUGCUUGUCAUGUGGUUUAUGCUGUUGUGAUGUAAAUAUGUGUGCUCUCUGUGCAGAGGAGUUUUUUUGUUUUCUCUUCUCAUGCUGACCUCCCACAAGGAGCCCAGCAUGAGUAGAGGUCGCUUUUUUUUUCCUCCUCCACUUGCCCAUUGUAUUGUACAUUUCAUUGUUUUUUCCAAAUUACUACCCGUCUCCGGCCUGUCUUCCUAUGUCAUGUCUGUAUUGUCCGAAAUCCAAUUUCGCUGCAGGUGUAAAUAUUGCAUGUGAUAAAUAAAGGUUUGAUUGAAUUGAA